AUUUUUUAAUCGCUGAGUUACGGCACUUUUGCCGUGAGCGGGGGAACCAUAUAUUGGGGUGAAUCCUGAAUUUUCAGGUAGGGUUAGUCUCGACCAAUCCGAAUCCGUCAGCUAACUUCGUAAGCGUUGGGGAGAAAGUGA
rnacentral:sRNA from 2 species